AGUGGUGGUGCAUGCCUUUAAUCCCAGUACUUGGGAGGCAGGGGAGCCCUGUCUCAAAAAACCAAACCAAAAUAAAACAAAAAACAAAAACAAAAAACCACAACCAAAAAAAAAAAGUGUGUCAGAUCCCUGGAAACUGUAGUUAUGAAUAGUUGUGAGUUGCCAUGUAGUUGCUGGGAAUGGAAACUUGGUUCUCUGGAAGAACAAGUGCUCUUACACAAAGCCCUCUGACUUUGAUCUCUUUUUUAUUGUUUAUUGUUUUUUUUUUUUUUCGAGCUAGGGUCUUACUAUGUAGCUCUUGAUGUCCUGGAACUCACUAUGUAGACCAGGCUGGCCUCAAAUCCACAGAAAUCUGCCUGCUUCUGCCUCCUGAGUGCAGGGACGAUCCCUGGCUGACUUUGAACUUCUAACACUCCUGUUUUUGUGUCCCAAGUACUGGGAUUCUAGCAUGAACCAGCACACCCCAAUGAAUUCCUUGUUUUGAAGGACUGCUAUGAUGGCCCAUGAAAGAUUCAGAUUAUCCUUUUUCCAGAAUCCAGUUACAUAGUGGGUAUAAAAUGUACAGUUCAGGCAGCCAGUGGUGAUCUUCUGUCUUCUAUUGAAACUCCUUUGUGUGGUUAGAAUUGCAGGCCACAGAGGCUUGCGUUUCAGGCCAAGCUGUUUGGGUCACAAGCUUUAAGCAGUCUCUGAUGCCGGCUUGAGGAGGGUGCUGAUUAGUGACACCAAUUCCAGUACCUCCUGGUCUACCAGAGGGCUCUGGAGACUGGAGCUAGAGCCAGGCAGCCCUCAUUCUCAGCAGGGGAGAACUGCUGUCUCCUUGAGAAGUGGAUUUCCUUUACAAUCUCAUCCCCCCACCCCCUUUCUUCUUCCUUGUUCUCCGCUGCAGGAGCUUCUGCACCCUUGGGUUUGCAUGGCCAAUGUUCCUGUGAAGAUCUUCCUGUCACCAUGAGUGCUCUUUACCCGUUGCCUAUUAAAUUAACCCUAUAGUCUUCAAACUAGACGUUUGAGAAGGAGGCAAGGGGAAGACUGGGUGGCUCCCCCUCACUGGGCAGAACCUCUCCAGCCACAGAGCUGGAAUCUAGCUGGCAUCUUAUUUGUCUGUUGCUCGAUUGAGUCCUCAUUUCCUAACAUGUAUUCAUGAGAUGUGUCUGCUUUGGAAAUACAGUAGAUGAAUUAGUUAUCUGUCUCCAUCAUGAAACUUCUUUUCUGGCAGGAGUCAAUAAGCAAAUUGGAGUGCCAUGGAGAAAAUAAAGCAAAACAAGGGAUGGUUCAGGGGUUUGGAAAAGUGGGCAGAUACUCUGAGCUGUUCAGAGAAGUGCUCUGAGGAGGUGAUAUUCCAAGUUGACCUGAAACCUGAGUGGGAAGUAGAAGCCAGCCAUGGACAGUAGAAGAGGCCCAAGGUGAAGUGAGCAUGGCGGUUCCGGUGUUAGAAACACCAGUAGGACUAGAUGUUGAUCAGAGACCAUGGAAAAAAAUGAACUUGAAGAAGCAAAAGGAUUUAUGACUCAUAGUGGGAAUGAGGGUAUUAUUCUCACUGAAUUAGGAAUACUGAUUUACUUCCACAGGCAGGCAGCUUGUUAUGGCUAGCCGACUGGGACUUAUCUAAGGAAACUAGUCUGUAGAGGCUAGAGUUGAAAUGAGUUUUUUUUUUUUUUUGGAUAGGGUCCCAAGGGAUUAAAAGCAAGCAUUCCUCUUGAAGCUGUUGAACUUUAUUCUCCGACCAGUGUGUCCAUGCUGGGAUAGUAAGAAUUGAAUGAAUCCAAGAUGGUUUUGGAGUUGCUAGUGAAUCAGACAUGGGAGAUGGAUAGGAUGAUGGGAGGAAGGGAAAGAAUUGACUUUCCGGAUGGCUGAGCAACUGAGACUAAGGGUCCCCUGUGGAGCUGGUGUCUGUUGUAGACCUUGGCUCCUGGGGAGCGUGGGCAGCUUCACAGAGAGGGGAUUGCAGAGAUUGCUAGUCUCAAACCCAUGACAAUCCUCUCUGCUGUGCCUUUUUUUUUGGACAGGGUUUUCUCUGUGUAGCUCUGGCUGUCCUGGAAAUUGAUUUGUAGAUCAGGCUGACUUUGAAUUCAGAGAUCUGUCUCCUUGAGUGCUGGGAUUAAAGCUAUGCCACACCAGACUUCUGCUGUGCCUCUUGAGGAGGCUUUUGGGAAGAGAGAGUUUGGAGUUUGCUUUCUGAGUGGUAGGGCUUUUCCAACUGCCGCGAAUCCUGAAUGAUACUUUGAUUCGUAUGGGCUAGUUCCAGAGAGCUACCAUUUGAGCUCAGAUUCUCUAAAGAAGCCUUAGCUUAGUGUGCUCUAUAUCUUCCGAGCUAGACGCUACCAUCAGAACAAUCUGUAAGGAGGCCAGCGAGAAGAGACAACUUGGUGUUUCCAGAGGGGAACCUCAAAUAGGAAAGAUAAUUGCAAGCCGGGUGUGGUGGCGCACACCUUUAAUCCCAGCACUUGGGAGGCAGAGGCAGACGGAUUUCUGAGUUGGAGGCCAGCCUGGGCUACAAAGUGAGUUUCAAUACAGAAGAAGAAGAAGAGGAAGAGGAAGAGGAAGAAGAAGGAGAAGAAGGAGAAGUUAAGAAAGAGGAUUCCUUGUCUUUAGCCUUUGAAGCUGCUUGGGCAACAGUGAAGAGUCUAACUCAGAGACAAUAGGGAGUCAGAAACAAAGAAUUGGGGGACUCUGAAUUGGAGAGAGCAAACUGUGAGGAGUUUUGGCGGCACAGCCUCUCUGUUGAGGAAUGUUCUGGAAGUAAGAGGUCAGUUUUCUUUUUCCAUAGUCUCCUCAGUGCCAGCAUUACAGGCAAGUACCACCUCACUCAGCUCCAGUGUGAUAUUGGAGACUGAACCCUUGUGCAUGCUAGACAGCACCCUUAGUGAUACCCAGCCCCUCACACUGGUUAUUAAAAAGUACAUUUAUUAUAGUAGUGUGCUGUUGUCCCAUUGCAUAGCAGGGUGUUUAAAGUUGUCUCUUUUGUUCUUUAUCAGGUAGAUCUCUGCCUUGCCGACCUCUUUCAUCUAUAGUCAGAUUUUUUUUUUAAAGUAAUGUUAUGGGAUAUAAUUACAGACUAUAAUAUGUGCCCUUAUUAACAGUUCAGGAAUUGUUUUUCUUACCAGCCUUUCUUACCAGUAUCACAGUUCACAGUCCAGUUUUAGGGAAUCCUAUCACUUUGGUAUGCUUGUUCAAGGCCCUUUCUAUUGAAUCCCAGUCUCCACCACAGCUCCAGGUCACUGUUCAUCUUUCUCUGUAGUCAGUCUUUUCUAGAAAUUUCAUAACUUUGUGAUCAUAUGAUAUGUGGCUUUCUGGGUCUGACUUCUUCUUUGACUUAGUAUAAUACUUAUCUAUCCAUUCAUCUACUUAUUUAUUUAUUUAAAAAUUGACACACUCUAUUUAUUUAUUCAUUCAUUCAUUCAUUCAUUCACAUUUUGACAUACUCUUGUGGAGCCUUGGCCUCAGUCAUGUAGAGGCCAUGUACUUACAGCGUAUGUAGCACAAGUAUAACCUUGGUCUCCUGGUCCUCCUGUACCCACGUACUAAGUACUGAGAUUACAAGGUAUAUACCCAUGCCUGCUUUAACAUGAUUUAAAGGUCAUCUGUGUUAUAGAUGUGUCAUAUAGUUUGUCCUUUUAUCUUUGGUUUGGCAGGUACCUUGCCAAAUAGACCAGUGUUCAGCCAAUGUUUUUGAAGGAUUUGGAAGUAUUUCACUAUUUGGAUAUUGACUCUCCAUUAGGAACUUUCUUACAGGGUGAAGAUAAAAUGUCUGUGAAACAUGUGGAAUGAUAUAGGACUAGAAACCUUAGGACAAUGUGGCCCUGGGUAGGGACAUUUUACAUUGCUCAUGAUAUUCAGGGAGAGGAAUGGGCAAGAGAGACUAGAAUCAUAUUUACCAUGCUUAUCUUUCUCGUAGACCAUAGUUUUUGAUAUUAUUCUAGGAACAGAUUGCAUUAAGUAAUAAAAAGUAGGCUGGAGAGAUGCUUAGUGGUUAAACACUAGCUGUGCUUCCAGAGGACCCAGGAUUGAUUCUCAGCACCAUCAUAUGGUAGCUUAUAACUGUACAUAUCUGCAGUUCCAGGGGAUCUGAUGCCCUCUUUUGGCCUCCUCAGGUACUUUCACUCACAUGGUGUACAGACAUAAAUACAGACAAACACUCAUAUGCAUAUAGUAAUUAUAUAGGUAAAAUACCUCAAUACAUAAAAUAAAAAUUAAAAAUAAUAAAGAAAUCUAUAAAAAAUAAGUAACUUCUAUGUGGAACAACAUGGUUGAAUUUAGGGAACCUGUCAAAUAAAACAAGUUUAAGGGCCUAGAGCUUUAGCUCAGUAGGUAGAGUGCUUAUGUAUCAUUUAUUAGGCCUUGGGUUAAUCUCCACACUGUAUACACUGGACAUGGCACAGAUGCCUCUAAUCCUAGCACUCAGGGAAUGGAAGCAGAAAGAUCAGAAGUUUAAGGUCAUCCUUGACUACAUAGCAAGUUUGGGGUCAGCCAUGGAUCAUGAGAAGCUGCCUUUAAAAAGAAAAAAGCUUUAAGUAUUUGACUCAAUAUAAUACAGUAACUCAGAAGAAUUCUGGUUCCAUUUAUAUGCAGUUCUAAAGUGAAAUGCAAGGAAGAUCAGUACUGUAAGUCAGGUGUGGUAGCACAGGCUGAUAAUGCCUUACUCUGGAGCAUCCAUAUAAGAUAAGCCACAUACAAUGUGUAAGGGCAGCCUGCGGGGGCUGAAGAGAUGGCUCAGUGGUUAAGAGCACUCACUGUUCUUCCAGAGGGCCUGAGUUCAAUUCCCAGCAACCACAUGGUGGCUCACAACCAUCUGUAAUGGGAUCUGAUGCCCUCUUCUGGUGUGUCUGAAGACAGCUACAGUGUACUCAUAUACAUAAAGCAAAUAAAUAAUUCUUUAAAAAAAAAAAAAGGGCAACCUGCACAUGCCCUCUC
ensembl:processed_transcript